GACGAACGCUGGCGGCGUGCCUAACACAUGCAAGUCGAACGGGGAUUUUGUUUCGGCAGAAUCCUAGUGGCGAACGGGUGAGUAACGCGUAGGCAACCUGCCCUCCGGCCGGGGACAACACUCCGAAAGGGGUGCUAAUACCGGAUACGAAGUCUGUGCCGCAUGGUACGGAUUUGAAAGAUGGCCUCUAUUUAUAAGCUAUCGCCGGGGGAUGGGCCUGCGUCCGAUUAGCUGGUUGGUGGGGUAACGGCCCACCUAGCCAUCGAUCAGUAGGGGUUCUGAGAGGAAGGUCCCCCACAUUGGAACUGAGACACGGUCCAAACUCC
rnacentral:rRNA from 1 species